rnacentral:rRNA from 1 species
CACCUUCGUGGUGUGACUGCGUACCUUUUGUAUAAUGGGUCAGCGACUUAUAUUCAGUAGCGAGGUUAACCGCAUAGGGGAGCCGUAGAGAAAUCGAGUCUUAAUAGGGCGUAUAGUUGCUGGGUAUAGACCCGAAACCAGGCGAUCUAUCCAUGAGCAGGUUGAAGGUUGGGUAACACUAACUGGAGGACCGAACCCACUGUCGUUGAAAAGCCAGGGGAUGACUUGUGGAUAGGGGUGAAAGGCUAAUCAAGCCUGGUGAUAGCUGGUUCUCCCCGAAAGCUAUUUAGGUAGCGCCUCGGACGAAUACCAUUGGGGGUAGAGCACUGUUUCGGCUAGGGGGUCAUCCCGACUUACCAAACCGAUGCAAACUCCGAAUACCAAUGAGUACUAUCCGGGAGACAGACUGCGGGUGCUAACGUCCGUAGUCAAGAGGAAAACAAUCCAGACCGCCAGCUAAGGCCCCAAAAUCAUAGUUAAGUGGGAAACGAUGUGGGAAGGCAUAGACAGCUAGGAGGUUGGCUUAGAAGCAGCCACCCUUUAAAGAAAGCGUAAUAGCUCACUAGUCGAGUCGGCCUGCGCGGAAGAUGUAACGGGGCUCAAACCAGGCACCGAAGCCGCGGAUUCACACUUAUGUGUGAGUGGUAGGGGAGCGUUCUGUAAGUCUGCGAAGGUGUAUCGAGAGGUAUGCUGGAGAUAUCAGAAGUGCGAAUGCUGACGUAAGUAACGAUAAAGGGGGUGAAAAGCCUCCUCGCCGGAAGACCAAGGGUUCCUGUCCAACGUUAAUCGGGGCAGGGUGAGUCGACCCCUAAGGCGAGGCCGAAAGGCGUAGUCGAUGGGAAACAGAUUAAUAUUUCUGUACUUCCGCUAACUGCGAUGGAGAGACGGAGAAGGCUAGGCUAGCGCGGCGUUGGUAGUCCGCGUUUAAGGUGGUAGGUGGGUGACUUAGGCAAAUCCGGGUCACUAUACACUGAGAGCUGAUGACGAGUCCCCAAGGGGAUGAAGUAGUUGAUGCCAUGCUUCCAGGAAAAUCUUCUAAGCUUCAGGUUAGCGGGAAUCGUACCCCAAACCGACACAGGUGGUCGGGUAGAGAAUACCAAGGCGCUUGAGAGAACUCGGGUGAAGGAACUAGGCAAAAUAGAACCGUAACUUCGGGAGAAGGUUCGCUCUUGAUGGUGAAGUCCCUUGCGGAUGGAGCUGUCGGGAGUCGCAGUGACCAGAUGGCUGGGACUGUUUAUCAAAAACACAGCACUCUGCAAACACGAAAGUGGACGUAUAGGGUGUGACGCCUGCCCGGUGCUGGAAGGUUAAUUGAUGGGGUCAGCCGCAAGGCGAAGCUCUUGAUCGAAGCCCCAGUAAACGGCGGCCGUAACUAUAACGGUCCUAAGGUAGCGAAAUUCCUUGUCGGGUAAGUUCCGACCUGCACGAAUGGCGUAAUGAUGGCCAGGCUGUCUCCACCCGAGACUCAGUGAAAUUGAAAUCGCUGUGAAGAUGCAGUGUACCCGCGGCUAGACGGAAAGACCCCGUGAACCUUUACUGCAGCUUGACAUUGAACUUUGACCUUACUUGUGUAGGAUAGGUGGGAGGCUUUGAAGUUGGAACGCUAGUUCCAAUGGAGCCGUCCUUGAAAUACCACCCUGGUAAUGUUGAGGUUCUAACUCUGUCCCGUUAUCCGGGACGAGGACCAUGUCUGGUGGGUAGUUUGACUGGGGCGGUCUCCUCCUAAAGAGUAACGGAGGAGUACGAAGGUGCGCUCAGACCGGUCGGAAAUCGGUCGUAGAGUAUAAAGGCAAAAGCGCGCUUGACUGCGAGACAAACACGUCGAGCAGGUACGAAAGUAGGUCUUAGUGAUCCGGUGGUUCUGUAUGGAAGGGCCAUCGCUCAACGGAUAAAAGGUACUCUGGGGAUAACAGGCUGAUACCGCCCAAGAGUUCAUAUCGACGGCGGUGUUUGGCACCUCGAUGUCGGCUCAUCUCAUCCUGGGGCUGAAGCAGGUCCCAAGGGUAUGGCUGUUCGCCAUUUAAAGAGGUACGCGAGCUGGGUUUAGAACGUCGUGAGACAGUUCGGUCCCUAUCUACCGUGGGCGCUGGAAAUUUGAGAGGAUCUGCUCCUAGUACGAGAGGACCAGAGUGGACGAACCUCUGGUGUACCGGUUGUGACGCCAGUCGCAUCGCCGGGUAGCUAUGUUCGGAAGGGAUAACCGCUGAAAGCAUCUAAGCGGGAAGCCUACCUCAAGAUAAGAUUUCCCUAGGAAUUUAUUCCUCUAAAGAGCCGUUCGAGACUAGGACGUUGAUAGGUUGGGUGUGGAAGCACGGUGACGUGUGAAGCUGACCAAUACUAAUUGCUCGUGAGGCUUGACUAU